rnacentral:rRNA from 1 species
AUGUUAGUCGUCGGAGCAAAUCUUUGUGUCCCCAUGAUUAGUAACAAUUGCAGCAUCAUGUCGUGGAACGUUAGGGGCAUCAACGCUCCAACUAAGCGCUCAGCGAUCUGUGAGGUGGCCACAACGCUCAAGACAGCAAUCCUGACGCUGCAAGAGACGAAGGUGGAAGUGUGGACGACAGGUAUAGCAAAGGAAAUCGGCGGCCCAAUGCUACAAGGCUGUGCAGUGCUACCUGCUAUGGGCACAAGAGGGGGAGCUGCCAUUUUUUGGAACAAAGAGAUUGUUGAGGUCGAAUCACACUCCAUUGGACGGUUUACAAUCACAGCCAAAGUGAAGGAACUGGGAACGAACAUUCAGUUCUGGUUAACCACAGUCUAUGGUCCAAAUGACGACGGGAUCAGAGAAGAUUUUCUGCAGGAAAUGUCAAGUUGUGCGCCUCCAUUAGGGCAAGCCUGGCUGAUAACCGGAGAUUUCAACAUGAUAUAUGAAGCAAGAGACAAGAACAAUCAGCAUCUGAAUAGAAGAUUGAUGGGCAGAUUCAGAAGAGCACUUGAUUUUGCAGGGCUGAGAGAGAUCAAGUGCAAAAACCGGCGUUUCACCUGGAGUAACGAAAGAGAAAAUCCAACUCUGUGCAGCAUAGAUAAAUUCUUCUGCAACCCAGACUGGGAAAUUCUGCAUGAUGGCUACAUGCUGCACGCUGAAUCAACUUCCUUCUCUGAUCAUUGCCCCCUAAUCAUGUCCCGUGCAGAUUGUCAGCCACGAAAGGCCAGAUUCAGAUUUGAAAAUUUCUGGCCUCAACACCCACACUACUCUGAAACUGUCCAGCACGCCUGGGAGAGGCCUGUCAACCAUGAUUGCCCUUUUGUCAGGAUCAAGAUUAAGAUGCAGAGAGUAGCAAUGGAUCUUAAAAUCUGGAGCAGAUCACUUUUCAGCAAAACAAAAUUGCAGUUCCACAUAGCAAACGAGGUCAUUUUGCAGCUUGACAUUGCUCAGGAAAAAAGAGCUCUAACGGCGGAAGAGUUCAAUCUCAGAAAGCUUCUGAAGACCAAAGUGCUGGGGCUUGCCGCGAUUGAGAGGGCCAGAAAAAGGCAAGCUUCCAGGGUGACAUGGCUUCGGGCAGGGACGCUAGCACAAAAAAUUUUCAUGCUAAAUGCAAUGCAAGAAGAAGGAAGAACCACAUUCACAUGCUUAGAACUAGAGAAGGAACAAUAG